UGAUUUGCACAUAAAUUCUUUCUGCUAUGUUGAAAGUCACACGAGAUCUGACCCUUAGGGGGAAUAUUCACAAGAUAUUUGGUAAAAUAUUGGUUUAUAUUUAACUGAUUUUUCCAAGCAGAAAAAAUAUCAUGUUUUUAUGGUCAUAUUUUCUCUCUAUUGCAUAACUGAUAAAUGGGGGGGGUGGAAAUGAGAUCUUCAAAUAUAACUCAUUUUGAGUGGUAAACGUUUUUAAAAAUAAUGGAAGACGUGAAAUGCAUUUCAUAACUUAUGUAUAAAUUAUUCAAAACAGCGUUUAGAACUUUAAAAACAAACAAACAAAACCAUCAACUUUAUGUCCUACCAGAUACACCUUUUGCUGUCUGAAUGGUUUUUAUGUUGUCAACAGCAGACAGUUAUCGGUGGAAGGCAAAACAAGAGCGAAUUGGCAAUAGAAAGGUGAAGACCUCGGUAGUUCAGCUCCCGGAUAAAAGCAGAUACAAAGACAGAUUCUUUGCGCAAAAGGCCGAACGUAGGAAGUUCUCCGGUUUCCCUCGACCUGCUCUGCUCAGCCCAUCACGUAUGUGACGUGUAAAUUCACGGCCGGGGCUUUCACCGAGCGACCGGCUCCAGUACAGUACGUGACACUUUCUCAGAUUCCUCCUGAUGUUCAGAUAUUGCCAAAAAAUAUCAUGUCCAACUUUGCACAAAGCUCCACAGACGCAAAAAUAUUUAUUAUAAAACAUUUGUCUUCAGAGAAGAAUCCUGAGCUCCAAGAGAGAAGGUUUUUUUAUGCUCCAGAUUUCGCUGUCAGUGAUUAUGCAGCUUCACAAAACAUGUGCUGAGCCUCUUUGGCAAAACCUUUUUUCCUUAAUAUUUGAUGUUUGCUUAGUUUUGUUUGUUUGCUGGGUUUUAUUGCUCUCAGUGUUAUUUCUGGUGACUACAUGACUCAGAGGGACCAGAAAUAAAAUGAGAGACUUUCACCUCCAGGUCAACAGUUUCAUUCUGGCCCAGAAUACAGGGACCAAUGUAAAAUAACUCAUUGAUCUCACUCCAGUUCCCAGUUGGCAAGUAUGCAUAUCGCAAACUGUAUCAUUAAAACGGGCAAUAAAUUGUCAUCCUUUGCAGCAGUCCCAGAAGUGAGCUCAGUGUUUGCGUUGGCGUUGCUGCUGAAUCCCCCUUUUUGCCAGGAGAUGGGUUUCUUCUGGGCUGGACGACAUGAGGUUGGUGGGGGGUCCUGGAGGUGGUUUUUCCUCUCCUCUUCUUUCACUCUCUGCUUGAAGGCUGAACGGAGGACUACAAGUCACAGUGCAGUCUGUCGAGCACCUCCCCAAAUCAAUAAGAAGUCCUUCGGCCAGGUAAUCAGAUGUAAUUUCAUAAGCAUACAUUGCUCUGCAAGCCAAGGCUUUGUUUUCCAGAGGACGUGGUCUUAGUCCACAGCGAGUUCUUUCUCUCCCCGGUAAUCACCAUUUGCAUUUCCCCGCAGUUGUGGGGGUUCCAAAUAAACUGCCUAAUUCAUGGACACAAAGGCGUUGAAACAAAAAGUACUGAGUAGUUCGAUCUUUAAAAUUACCUGUUUGACCUGCUGCUUCCAGAGCAGAGCUCUGAGAUAACAGCUUGCUCCCCCACCGAGAUCAGAGCCUGCAUUUCUUUUCUCAAAUGAAACGCAGACAAAAAAAUUACAUUACUGUGAUCUAUAGCAGUAACAAACAGUCCUGUUUCUAUAGAAAGGGGGUGGGUGCUAUUAUAUUUCAUUUUGGCAUUAUUGUUGAUCAUAACAGGUGUUUUGAACUGAAGACCCCCACGGCUUACAGGCGCCUGUACAAACCAUCAGUUUAAACUACAACGGAGACGUCACCGGUGCUCACUAAAAAGCUAUCUAACCUUUUUGUAGAUCCCCAGAUACUUGUAAUCCUCCAUUCUUCAACCCAUUGCAAAAGCAGAAGCAUUUAGCCUCGCAUCUCAGCAGCACUACUCGUUGCUGGAUUAAUUUAUUUCUCUAACCUUAUCAAUUCUGCGGGUUUUUCUAACCGUGUUCUCGUCCUGUUUGGAGCCGGCGUGGGCCUCUCUGCCGUGGUACAGGAAAGCGGCAUUAGAACAUGUUUCGGGAGCAACGAGGGUGUCGCCGGUGAAGUCUCUAUGGGCAUGGGGGCUUGUGAAAAGUAUCCACCUGCAUGGAUAAAUUCGGCUUUCCUGUUUCCUGGUCUUCUUGUAGUGGUACCACAGUGUCAAUGAGCCAGAGCUUCCUUGUCACUCGACAUGGAGCAUGGAGAGGACCCUGAACACGGUUAAACAGGCAGAAGUGAGGCAGUUUGGCAGAGCUGUUUCAGAAGCUCCGGUUACACUUUACCCGCAUUUCGCCUGGUGACGUAUGAAAAAGAGUGUGAUUCGAGGAGAAUGAAAAUUAUUAAGGAUUGUAGUGACCUAUCUCAAAAUUUCUGCAGAAGGGAAAAAAAAAUCAAGGUAGAACAAGCUCUCUGACGCUUGGAUGGGUGAGUGAUUGGUUUUCAAACACCAGAUUUGCUCAGUCGUGGAUCAGAACCAGCCACCCCCCAGCAAUAGCAACUGAGACUGCAAGGAAAGCUGAGGACCCACCUGAAAAAGGCAGGUAAAGACUUUUCCUCUGUGAAAUAAUUAUCAGCGCAGGCAAAUGAAGAUAGUGUGGGGACGAACAGACUGUGGCAGGCUGAACAGGAUCGAUUCUAUGUGUGGGGAGUUAAUAAUUUAUCAUUAAGGAAUAAACUGAGAAGGAAUUUAGUUCAUGCAGUGGGGAUAAAAGGAGGAAAUAUUUGUUUAGUCCUGUUUAUACAACAAAAAAAAUUGGAGUAAUUUACAACAGUAGUUCAGUGGAGGUACCUGAUCCAUAAAGGGGGGGAAAGCAAAGAGGGAACCGUGGGGCAAAUAUAAUUGUCUUGAAAAGUGUGGAUUAAUACAAACAAGUUUCCUCAUCUGCCUUCCUUGAGCUGCUGUGUUAAACCCAGCCCUUGCUUCUACCGCUGUAUAAAACUCUCACCAGAGCUCACUCAGAAAGAACUAGAUGUAAAUAUAUAUCUUGAGCUGAAAUACAGCAGAAGUUGUACAAACCCCAGCAUGCUAACAUCUGUCACAGCUACUUUACAUUAUGAUUUUCAGAAACUCGUGUUACAGCUCAGCCAUCAGAUUUGAUUUUCCUAUCACCUUGAACACCUAAAAAGAUUUUGGAGGCCUGUAUAUAUAUGUAAAAGAAAAUGAUGUAUUUAGAUUUAAAGUGAUAUAAGUGCUGUUGGUUGAGCCCUGAUCUAGCUCAUACUUUCAAGCAUGUGCUAAACUUCACUCAUAUAAACAACCCCAGAACUGACAGCAGGGCUUCAGAAUGCCAUUUUGUGCCUCUGAAUAUUGAAAAAUGUGGCUGGUUUAAAAAUAUCCAUCAGUCUUACCAGUACAGCACAAUGCAAAGUAUGUCAGUCCACUGACAGCGAGCCAAACGCAGGGAAAAUGUAUGUAGAGCAUCACUUUCCGUGAGCGAGGAUGAUGAUCAGAAGGACUAAUGUCAUUCAUAACGUUGUUCGCAUAUAAAACUAUUUGUAUAAGCCCUCACUUGUGUCACUGCUCUCAGUGACGAUGCUUGUGACACACGUAUCUCUUCUUUGGCGAUGCGAUAGAUGCAACAGCAGGGGACAGAGCUGAAAUAUAGGAAGAAACUAUAAGCAAUACCCAAAGGUAAAGAUUAUGAAAACGUAUUCAGCAGUUACAGUUUCUUCAGUCUAUCGGCUACAUAAAAGGCAUUUAAAAAAGAAGCCUAAAUACAUAUUUAACCAAUUGACCAGAAUGGCACUGAAGGAGUUUUAACAUAUUUUGAAAAAUUGCCUAAAUACAUAUUUCUCCAAUAGACUGGAACAGCUCCUUCAGAGUCUCUCUGGUCUCUUGGGUACGUAAUACGUGUUUUUAAAAACUGCCUGACUAUAUAUUUACCCAAUAGACCAGAACAGCUAUUAAGUAAAUAAUACACAUUAUAUAACUGUCAAUGAUUUUUUUUUUUUCAUUCCUUUUAAAAAAUAAUAUAGACAAACCAGAUAAAAAUUGAAUGUUAGGUAUUUAUUACGAUUAUGAAAGGUCUGGAAUUUGAAGUUGGUGUAUGCGUGUCACAUUGUAGAAAAUAUCUCAGAUCACUAAUAUGUGUGUGUGUGUUUAACGUACAGGGGCAUUGUCAAGUACAUCAGAGCCUGGGGUGCUUAAUAUAGAAGACAGAACAGCAGUUGGGAGUUGGAAAGGUCUGGCAGAAGAGAGGGGGGGGAAAGGGAAGAUAUGAAUCAUAGAUUCCCAGGAAGGAUGGGUAAAUCAAGCAGUUAAUCUUGAGUAAGCCUAAAGAUAGUACAUGACAUGAUGAAAAAAAAAAAGAGGAAAGAGGGUUGGCAUCAUGGCCUCUGAAACCUGGGUAUCAAUACUUCAAUAUCCUAUAUGGAAAAGCUGCUCAGCUGAGUACAGAUUGUGCUGUCUCCUCCAUACUUGCCUUAAAAGAAAACCUUCCUUUCUAUUUGUUCAAGUAUUAAGAACCAACCUUUUCUACAAGGCAAAGAGUCUUAGAAUGAUACAGAGACCAGAAUGAUUUUUCAUUAAAUGUUCACAUAUGUUUUAAAGCAUUGCAUUAAUUAUAAUUGAUAAUGCAUUCUGAUUUGGAUUCUUUUCCCUUGUAAAAUAAUCCAAUUCUGAAAUCAGAUUCAUGAACACUAAUUGAUUUCUUUUUGAUUUUAACGUGCUUUGGACUGUUUAGAAAUCACAGAGGAAUGAAUGUCUUGCUCUCACUCUGCCCUGCAACAUAGCGAAGGACAAGCCACAAAGUCUGAGAAAUGACAUUAAUCUUUGAAAGCAAUGCUGUCUCUUCUGUAUUUAGGGGUUUUUUUUAAGUUUGAAAGCUCUCAGUGGUGGAGAAGCAAGGAAGACUUCUCAUGCUUUGCACAGAUCUCCAGGCUGGCAAAGGAUUCAAAAAAGGCCAGGAAUCAAUGGAAAGUGGACUGGAGCUGGUGACCGUGGAAAAGCCUAAUUGCCCUUUGACCACAUGGACACUUACAGGAAACCCCCAUACGGAGACUUCCACGGACGUCCUUGGAGAAAAGGUUAUUAAAGAGGGGGGUUCCAGAGUGCCGAGCAUCAUUCCUGCCAAAGGCAGAAAGUGAGGAUAAGUGCAGACAAGAGGAGAGGCAAUAACACAAAGCCUGGAUGAAGCUGGAUUAUUUUUCUCUGCAAUAUUUAAAUCUCCGCAUCUCAAAUACGGGACUUACCGUGUGUGUCAAUAGGAGGAAGAAGAAGUAGACCCUGGUUUUGCUCCCCAUUGUAAAAAGUGUAAAGCUUUGGGUUUGCUGGUGUGUUUUUUUUUUUUGGCUUUUGAAAAAUACCCAUGAACUUCUAAAGAUCCUUCUGGAAACUCAUGGAACUGCACAGGAGAUGCUGCUGGAUGUACCUCCAGAGGAACAUGGGUGAGAAAAUGAACAGGAGCGCUUCCUCCUGCCUCUCUCCAUCGCAUCUUUAAUCUCUUUAUGUGGUUUCUGCCUGUGGCUUUCUGAGGGUGCCUCAACCCCGCCAGCUGCAGCCCAUAAAAGAGAACCUGCAAGGUAGACUGGUAAGCCAUCCUCACCACACGUGCGGCAGGAGGUUUAAAAUACGUUUUGUUACUUCGGUGAACCCGUAGCUUUGAGUCCAAGAACGACUCAAGGAAGAAAACAAUUGUUUUGUGCUUAAGGCAGUGCAGAGUGGGGACUUGGAGACUUCAGCACAUGGGGACAAACGGAGGGUGCUCAGUGCUCACCUCCCGCACCCCCACUCGCACCUGUGCACGGGGUGACAUGUGGGAGUUAGUGUACUCUCUCAGAGUGACAGAACGGAUUGAUUUGGGAAGAAAAGAAAAGAGGUAAAAUAUUGAAAUAAUUUCUCAAAAAAAGAAUUGUCAUGAUGUGCCUAUUUUCAAUCGUUGGGUUUGACAAUGAGGCGUUGUCUUCGCACGCAGUUUUUAGCCUCUGCUGUGCUCUCUGCAUGGCUAGUGAAAUUUUCUGCUUGGAAAUUAGAAUUUUUAGAAUUUUUUUUCAUUUGCCCAAAGGCUUUGCUUUCUGCACUAAAUCCACGGCUGAUCUCUUCAACCUAGUAAACAUACCCAUCUUCUCACAGGGCUGACUGCAGGUUUGAUGUGUAUGUUAGAGAGUUCAGCCUGAAAACUGUUGUGUUGUUCUUUAUGGGAUACAUUCUUUCUUCCUUUCUCCCACAAAGCUGUGAGAGAAUAAAAAGAAAUUACCUUUCAUUGCAAGUCAAUUUGUGGGACGUAAUGGCACAAUUUAGAAAAGAAUAUUGCAGACAGUAAGACCACUUGGAUUAGAAGUCUUGAAUCAGUUUGCAGGGCUAUAUAUUUCCGUAGUAUUGUGUUUUGUUGUGUGGGGAAUUUAAUAAGAGAUGUAAAUCUACCAACAGCAAUGAUAUCACCAUAAAAUAGAAAAGAUUCAUGUAUUAUAAAUGGGUAUGAUAAAUAAAUUAUUUAUAUUAAUGUA